CGUGGAACGCGGGCGCGUCCGGCGGAACCGCCGCUUCCGGCGCGGGGGGGCGGCGGCGGGAAACCCCACGGCUCGUGGGCCCGGCACGUGUCCCGCCCCGAGCCACGCGGCGCCACUCGACCCCCGCCCGGCUCCGGCUCCGGCCGCGCCAGCCCCUGCGAGACACCGCACGAGUCUGGGCUGGGCGCUCCGCGACGCCGCAGGGCUCACGGGUGUCCGCUUGAAACCCCCCGCUUGAAACCCCCCGCUCCCGCUUUUUGGUUUAAAAAGUAUACAACAGCUGAUUGCAAAAAGUGGCUAAGAUGCACCAUCAUUCAGGAGGAACCAAACAGAGCUGGCAUGUGAAAGAAAAUAUCCAUAUUUGAACAAUUCUCUAUCUUCAUAUGAGCUUAAUCUUUGGACCACUUUAAGUUUUCUUUGAAUUGCCUCAACGCGCAUGGAUUCACUCGGAGUCAUGUCCUUAUGUGACUGCUUCUGAAAUAGAAUUCAACCGAGAUACUGAAGUUCUACGAGAUGACAGCGAGAAAAAAUGAUCAAAAUGCUUGCUAUUUGCAGAAAUAUGGUACUAUAUUAAAGACAAAAAUACUAUUUA